rnacentral:rRNA from 1 species
AUGGUUAUAAUAGGAGGAGAAGCUGAUGGCAAUGAAGGAGAUGGUUCUGGAAGUCAGACCAUUCGCCGGAGGACAAAGCGUGCUGCUAAUCGCCAGCCACGCCCAAAACGUAGUGUUGAGCAGGGAGAGGAAGUUGAGGAUGUUGAUCGGUUUCGGGUUGUAAAGCGGACUAAACGUGCAUCAACAGCAGGGCGAGCUGAAUCAUCUACUAGGGCAGCAGUUGGUGGAGGAGCUGCCUCAUCUUCCGCAGCAGAUGCUGAGGCCAGCGGUGAAGGAGUUGAGGUGGCCGCCCGGGAAGAUGUGGAGCGACCAUCACAAGCUGGCAGGUUAAUGGCAUCACUAGGGCGGUUUGCGAAGUUCAACAGCUUGCUAUCCCCGCCACAGAAGUCAGAGCUAGUUUCAAGGUUGUUUGGGGGCCUCUUGAACUUAUCAAAUACACUUCCAAGGGACUUCAGUAAAUUCCUAGUGCAGUCCUACCAGCCAGAGACAUCUGAAAUGGUGUUCCCAGACAGGGGAAGUAUCCGUGUCGAUGCUGAAAGUGUUCAAAGGGUAUUUGAUCUUCCUAACAGGGGUCUUAAAGUCAGUUAUAAAGUUGACAAGGAUACAACAAGGAGAUUCAGAGAGACUUUCAACAUAACUGGAACUUCUCAUCCCCAGAUCAGUACAUGGACCAAGAUGAUUAAGGAUAUGGGGGGAAGAACGGAUGACACAUUCUUUAUGGCUUGGCUUGCGGUUGCAUUCAGCACUUUCUUA